rnacentral:rRNA from 1 species
CGUGCAGGUGGCGCGGUAAGUUAGGCGUGAAAUCUCCCGGCUCAACUGGGAGAGGUCGUCUAAUACUACCGUGCUUGAGAGCAGAAGAGGAAGAUGGAAUUCCCGGUGUAGUGGUGAAAUGCGUAGAUAUCGGGAGGAACACCAGUGGCGAAGGCGAUCUUCUGGUCUGUUUCUGACACUCAGAGCGACAGCUAGGGUAGUAAACG